rnacentral:rRNA from 1 species
AUGCGACCGCGCCCGCUCGCAUGGGCAGUCAUAUGGAGUGCCAACGCCGCCGCCCGUCGACUAUUUCCACGCCGUGAAAUUGGAUCAGGGAUUGGACGCCCAGAGAGACCAGAAACUCGUCCAGAAGGCAGAACCCUAGCAUCCGGAGAUCGUCCGGAGGAGGGAUUGGCAGGGAGAAGAGGGCCAUCUUCCUCAGCAAGCGCAAGGCGGCUACAACAUUAUCGCCACAGUCAUCAUCAUCACCACUAUCAUCAUCAUCACCACUGUCAUCAUCAUCACCACUAUCAUCAUCUUCAUCAUCCAUAUCCUUACCAUUGUAACCUUAGGAACCCUAGUGGAUCAUCUUGUGUGUUAUUCGAGUCAUCCAUCCAUGUAUGCCAUCACCCUUGUCAUGAUGGUUGUUGCCUCCAUGUGUCAGUAGAUCCCUAG